AGGAGCUUAGGCUCCCAAAGG
rnacentral:snRNA from 1 species